UCUGUUUGAUCCUGGCGGAGGCCACUGCUAUCGGAGUUCGAUUAAGCCAUGCGAGUCGAGAGGUGUAAGACCUCGGCAUACUGCUCAGUAACACGUGGACAACCUACCCUGAAGAGGGGGAUAACCCCGGGAAACUGGGGAUAAUACCCCAUAGACUAUGGAUGCUGGAAUGCUUUGUAGUUGAAAGGUCCGCCGCUUCAGGAUGGGUCUGCGGCCGAUUAGGUUGUUGUUGGGGUAACGGCCCAACAAGCCUGUAAUCGGUACGGGUUGUGGGAGCAAGAGCCCGGAGAUGGAUUCUGAGACACGAAUCCAGGCCCUACGGGGCGCAGCAGGCGCGAAAACUUUACAAUGCGAGCAAUCGUGAUAAGGGAACUCCGUGUGCCUGUAAAAUCAGGCUGUCCGCCAGUGUAAAUAACUGGUGAAGAAAGGGCCGGGCAAGACCGGUGCCAGCCGCCGCGGUAAUACCGGCGGCUCGAGUGGUGGCCACUAUUACUGGGCUUAAAGCGUUCGUAGCUGGUCUGUUAAGUCUCUGGGGAAAUCUUCCGGCUUAACCGGAAGGCGUCUCAGGGAUACUGGCAGACUAGGGACCGGAAGAGGUGAGAGGUACUCCAGGGGUAGGAGUGAAAUCCUGUAAUCCUUGGGGGACCACCUGUGGCGAAGGCGUCUCACAGGACGGCUCCGACAGUGAGGAACGAAAGCUGGGGGAGCAAACCGGAUUAGAUACCCGGGUAGUCCCAGCUGUAAACGAUGCGCGUUAGGUGUAUCGGUGACCACGAGUCACCGAGGUGCCGAAGAGAAAUCGUGAAACGCGCCGCCUGGGAAGUACGGUCGCAAGGCUGAAACUUAAAGGAAUUGGCGGGGGAGCACCACAACGGGUGGAGCCUGCGGUUUAAUCGGACUCAACGCCGGGAAACUCACCGGACAAGACAGCUGAAUGAUAGUCGGGCUGAAGACUCUACUUGACUAGCUGAGAGGAGGUGCAUGGCCGUCGUCAGUUCGUACUGUGAAGCAUCCUGUUAAGUCAGGCAACGAGCGAGACCCA
rnacentral:rRNA from 1 species